CGGCCUGAGGUCGGACGAGGCUACCCGCUGAAUUUAAGCAUAUUACUAAGCGGAGGAAAAGAAACUAACGAGGAUUCCCUCAGUAACGGCGAGUGAAGCGGGACGAGCCCAGCGCCGAAUCCGGCCGCUUAUGGAGGCGACGGAAUUGUGGCGUAUGGAA
rnacentral:ncRNA from 1 species